rnacentral:misc_RNA from 1 species
CCCACCACGACAGGAUGAUGUCGUCGCGGCCCGAGACGAUGCGCUCCUCGACCGUGCUCAGCGCGUUGCCCGUCUGCUCGAACUCGGCGUCGAACAGCGGCAGGGACUCGUCAUCGAAGGGCUUGUACAGCAGGGACUCGAUCGUCCGCUGAAGGAAGCGGGCGACGCCGGCGUUAUCCGUAUAGACGCGCGGCCCGCCCUCGAUCAGCGACCCCUCGAUGAAGAACGCAG